rnacentral:rRNA from 1 species
UACGGGGGGGGCAAGCGUUGUUCGGAAUUACUGGGCGUAAAGGGCUCGUAGGCGGCCAACUAAGUCAGACGUGAAAUCCCUCGGCUUAACCGGGGAACUGCAUCUGAUACUGGAUGGCUUGAGUUCGGGAGAGGGAUGCGGAAUUCCCAGUGUAGAGGUGAAAUUCGUAGAUAUUGGGAAGAACACCGGUGGCGAAGGCGGCGACCUGGUCCGAUACUGACGCUGAGGCGCGAAAGCGUGGGGAGCAAACAGG